rnacentral:rRNA from 1 species
GACGAACGCUGGCGGCGUGCUUAACACAUGCAAGUCGAACGGAAAGGCCCUGCUUUUGUGGGGUGCUCGAGUGGCGAACGGGUGAGUAACACGUGGGUUACCUGCCCUUGACUUUGGGAUAACUUCAGGAAACUGGGGCUAAUACCGGAUAGGAGCUCCUUCUGCAUGGUGGGGGUUGGAAAGUUUCGGCGGUUGGGGAUGGACUCGCGGCUUAUCAGCUUGUUGGUGGGGUAGUGGCUUACCAAGGCUUUGACGGGUAGCCGGCCUGAGAGGGUGACCGGCCACAUUGGGACUGAGAUACGGCCCAGACUCCUACGGGAGGCAGCAGUGGGGAAUAUUGCACAAUGGGCGGAAGCCUGAUGCAGCAACGCCGCGUGCGGGAUGACGGCCUUCGGGUUGUAAACCGCUUUCGCCUGUGACGAAGCGUGAGUGACGGUAAUGGGUAAAGAAGCACCGGCUAACUACAUG